AUGCCAGCACGGCCGAGGCGGCUCCAGCCGGCCAGCAAGCGGCGGCGGCUGCACGCACGCUCACGGCGACGACGUCCAGCACGCGGUGGCGGCGGCUGCUGCGCACGCACGCUCAUGGCGACGACGUCCAGCACGCGGUGGCAGCGGCUGCUGCGCACGCACGCAAGGCCGCAGCAUGCCAGCACGACCGAGGCAGCUCCAGCCGGCGUGGUUGCGCCUCCGUCUCCAGUCCCGACCAGCGUCAGAGAGGUGCUUCGCCCGGGCGUCGCCAUGGCGAAGAGCGCGGAGUGCACACGAUGUGUUCGAGGAAAUGACAGAGAGAGAGAGGAGGAGGAGGAGGAGGAGGAGGAGGAGGAAGAAGAUUAA
rnacentral:rRNA from 1 species